GUGCACCUGCUUUCUUCCAGCUUUCUAACAGCUUCUUGUUAUUAGGAUGUUGAGCAGGACCACCAGUUGUACGGCUUUUGUGCAAAAUAACCAAUGGAAGUUUCUUCGAUUCACUCAUCUGCCUUAAUUUAUUGACAACAGACCUAAGCUGGGAGAAAUUAAAAUUUCGUUGAGUGAUAAGGCCGACAUUUGCACCAUCCACCACGGCAUCGAAUGGACCAUGCUUCUGAAGCCAGUCCUGAAAUUGCACAAAAUUAGCCUUGACUUCUCUUUCAGAAGCCAAUUCAGCCAAGGAAUUAGCAAAGUUCUCUGUCUCCUUAGGAUCAAUGUCAAUGCACACAAGCUUUUCCCCACAUGAACGGCAAACUCCGGAACUAUCCAUCUCCGCCCUCACUACAGUCCAAUUCCCCUUUCCCAACCACCCUUGUCCAUGCCAACCACCUCCUCCUUUCACAACACCUUCCUUCACUUUCCGAGCAUCCCAAUCCUGC
rnacentral:misc_RNA from 1 species